UCUCCGUAGGUGAACCUGCGGAGGGAUCAUUACAGAGUUUUUGCCCGCAAGGGUAGAUCUCCCACCCUAUGUUAUUCCUUCUCUGUUGCUUUGGCGGGCCGUCCGGCCUCGGUCAGGCCACCGGCUCCGGCUGGUGCGCGCCCGCCAGAGGACCCCAAACCCUAAAUGUCAGUGUCGUCUGAGUACUAUAUAAUAGUUAAAACUUUCAACAACGGAUCCCUUGGUUCUG
rnacentral:misc_RNA from 1 species